CGGAGGAUCCAAGCGUUAUCCGGAAUCAUUGGGUUUAAAGGGUCCGUAGGCGGUUUAGUAAGUCAGUGGUGAAAGCCCAUCGCUCAACGGUGGAACGGCCAUUGAUACUGCUAGACUUGAAUUAUUAGGAAGUAACUAGAAUAUGUAGUGUAGCGGUGAAAUGCUUAGAGAUUACAUGGAAUACCAAUUGCGAAGGCAGGUUACUACUAAUGGAUUGACGCUGAUGGACGAAAGCGUGGGUAGCGAACAGGAUUAGAUACCCUGGCAGUCCACGCCGUAAACGAUGGAUACUAGCUGUUGGGAGCGAUCUCAGUGGCUAAGCGAAAGUGAUAAGUAUCCCACCUGGGGAGUACGUUCGCAAGAAUG
rnacentral:rRNA from 1 species